rnacentral:rRNA from 1 species
AGAACUUAGCAGAGAUGCUUUGGUGCCUUCGGGAACUCUGAGACAGGUGCUGCAUGGCUGUCGUCAGCUCGUGUUGUGAAAUGUUGGGUUAAGUCCCGCAACGAGCGCAACCCUUAUCCUUUGUUGCCAGCGGCUCAGCCGGGAACUCAAAGGAGACUGCCGGUGAUAAACCGGAGGAAGGUGGGGAUGACGUCAAGUCAUCAUGGCCCUUACGGCCAGGGCUACACACGUGCUACAAUGGCGCAUACAAAGAGAAGCGACCUCGCGAGAGCAAGCGGACCUCACAAAGUGCGUCGUAGUCCGGAUUGGAGUCUGCAACUCGACUCCAUGAAGUCGGAAUCGCUAGUAAUCGUAGAUCAGAAUGCUACGGUGAAUACGUUCCCGGGCCUUGUACACACCGCCCGUCACACCAUGGGAGUGGGUUGCAAAAGAAGUAGGUAGCUUAACCUUCGGGAGGGCACUUACCACUUUGUGAUUCAUGACUGGGGUGAAGUCGUAACAAGGUAGGCGUAGCGAG